GCUAAGAGAUAAGUGAUAAAAAUGGUUCGCCUCCAGAGACCUGGAGUAUAAAACCCUGCGGGGAAGAUUCACCGGUUGGCGCUCAACCCGUCGAAGACAAAGUAGCUGCCGGUUGGUGAAGGUUCCCCAAUUAGUGCUCACUAGUAGCUGAACCAAUCGCGUCUUUUGGAGCUGGCGCUCGACCCGUCGGAGACAAAGAAGCUGCCAGAGAUUUUCGUUCAACCCCAGGAAAUUUUCACAACCAAUUUCUCCAACCCGUCGGCGAGAGAAAUUGAUCGGCUUCGCGAGUUAGUUGGCUCAACCCGUCGCAGACAAAGAAGCUCAACAAAAACUCGCGGUUGGUGCGCUCAACCCGUCGAAGACAAAGAAGCUGCACCUCAAUUAAAUUGGUAACUGAAUUAAUCCUUUAUUUGGAGUUGGCGCUCGACCCGUCGGAGACUAAGAAGCUGCCAAGGAUUUACAUUCAGCACCAGGAGUUACUCCAAACAGUCUUUCCGGCCCGUCGGUGGAAAAAAUGAGUUUGGAACGCAAAGCUAGUUGGCUCGACCCGUCGAAGACAAAGAAGCUCAACUACAGCAGAGAGAAGUGUAAAACACCCUCUGAUUUUCUCAUUCCCGGCGGCUACUAUUUAUAGGGGGUUUGUGACGUCACUGAGACUAUGGCCUACGUGACUAACGAGAAUCUGUGUUUAUUAUCGAUAAGACUGCAUUAAUUUCUUCGAUACCGUAACCGAAUGUUUGCGAAUGCCCGUGAUUUGUGUAGGCAUUGUGACCAAACCUUAAAUUUUGUCCCUUGAUCGUAAAUCAAUUAAUCGCGACAGUUCCCGAUGGAAUAUUGGGUUCUUUUAAUUGUUUUUCGGUAAUCUGCCCGUGUCUUAUAUUGACGUGACUUGGAAUUAUCUGUUACAAAAAGUUUGUGUGUGUAAUUCCAUUUCAAAUUGGCAAUGUUUGAUAUAUGAAUGUGGAUGGAUUCAUAUACUGAUUUUCCACGCUCGGAUUUAUGUGGUCAAGAAUUUAAAAUGGUCUCCUGUGUGUUUGAUUAAAGUGCUGUCUUCCUUGGGUUGAAAUUUAAAGAAAUUAGCGUUUAUUUUACGGAUAAAACAGUAGACUAAUUGCACAUCUGGCGUUAGUUUUCUCCCCUUGGAAUUCGAGGAAUGUGGAGUGUUUUCAGGCCCUCGCUACCUGCUCUUUUGUUCCAUUUCCGGUGACUGGGUGAUAUCGUCUCUUCGAGGGUCGAAAAGUGCUGCAAAAAGCUUCUCGAACUCGCAUUUAGCCGUUACAAUUUUAUUUAGAUUUUUCUCUUUUCCUCCUUUUUGUUAUAUGUAACAAUCAACUAAUUAAAUUCAUAAGUCAAUUUAUGGUUGUGAUACUGGUUGCCUGUCUAUAGCCCCUGGAUGGUCUCAAGAUCAACUCUAAGAAAACUGAAGCCAUAGUAUUUACGAAAUCACACAUAAACCCAGAAAAAUGAAUACAAAUAGACAAUCAAGAAGUAAACUGGGCCAAUCAGGUCAAAUAAUUUGGUAUUAUGCUUGAUAAAAGACUUUCAUUCAAACAACAAACUCAAAAAGUUAAAAACAAAACACAACAAAUACUCACACAACUUUACCCUUUAAUAAACACCCAAAGGAGACUAAGUUUGGAAAAUAAAAUGAAAAUCUACAAAAUGAUCAUAAGACCCUCACUUACAUACGGAUUAGAAAUUUAUCACGAAUUAAAGAAAACAAACAAAUGUAUCUUAGAAACAAUCCAAACAAAAAUUCUUAGAAUAAUCCUAAAUGCACCAUGAUACGUAAGAAACAAAAUAAUCCUACAGGAUACAAACACGGCUACAAUUGAGGAGGAAAUUACCCAGAAAAGAAGAAAGAUGCUGGAAGGCUGCAACAAUCAUGCAAAUCCGGAAAUUAAACCAAUGAAAGCCUAAUAAAAAAGGGCAACAAAACAAAUAACAAGCCAAGGAGAUGAACUUCAACUGCUUGUAAAAACAAAGAGGGUACAAGGAUUGAUACCACUGUGGUUCACAAGCGAAGAAGAAAAGUGGAAUUUCAUUGGGUUCCUCAAUUUGCCGGAAAUUCAGUCGAGUUCAGAUAAAACAAAAAGUUCUGACUCCAGGUCCAUCUACUGAUUCAGGGAUUAUAAACUAAUAAAAUUAAUGAAUAAAUAAAAAAUAUUUUAUGGAA